CGUAGAACCUUAUAUAUGUUCAUAUAAUUUACAUAUGAAGCUCAGGAAUAUGUUGAAUAGUUCCCUAAGAGGGACUUACAUGAAGAGGGAGGGAGACUGGUGCAGCCAAGGAUGACUUGCCGGUGUUAGCGAUCGUCCAUCAUAUCAUAUUCAUAUGUUUAAUUAUAUCUAUCUGUGUCGGCAAGUUGUCCUUGGCUAUGUCGGUUUCUCU